ensembl:lncRNA
AUUCAAGAUGGGCAGAGGAUGGAUGGGCUGCGGCGUAAAAAUAGUGGAGCAAUAUCCGAAAGGAGUUUCUCAGAGAAAAAUUGCAAAGAGUGAAGUUAUCAUCAUCUACAGUGCAUAAUAUCAUCCAAAGAUUCAGAGAAUCUGGAACAAUCUCUGUGCGUAAGUGUCAAGGCCGGAAAACCAUACCAAACCAAACCUACGCAUGCUACUCGCAAUGAGACCUGAUUGUGGUCCCUUGUUUUGUAACUGCUGAGAGUAAAGAGGAUUACAUGAACAAAAGCCUCUGUGGAUGGUUGAGGAGGAUAUGCUGAAGCCACUGGGGUUUGUUUGCAUCAUUGUAUCUAACACAGGAGCACAAAAAUAUUCAAAUAUGCUUAAUAACCAAAGAGCUGCAACCAUGAAGAACACAGUGGUUAAUGCCGAAGUCCUUCAUUUUGGGAAGAAAUCUCUGAAUGUUCUGUAAAUGGGCUGAAAGUUGCAACACAAGGGAGGUCUUUCAGCAGCUGUGAGUGAAAGACUCUGGUCUCAGAGCAGUGGUUCCAGGGGGCGACUGCAAUCCAGCUGUGUUUUUAAAUGAGGAACAUCCAUCUGAGCCUCUUUCCACUACUUAUUGGAAAAGGAGAACAAUCAGCUAGACAGAGGGAGAGCUCCACGCUGUGAAUUUGUGAGAAGCCAGCUCUGUCGACUGCCUGCCUUUGUGUUUGCAGAGACUCAGAGGAUUUCUGCCUAUCAGGUCAAUCAGAUUAUGAUGACACUGUGGUGAGGGUGGAAUUCAAACUUUCUCAACGAAACGGGAAUCUUUUUUUUUUUUUUUUUUUAUGUUAAUGAGUGAAGAGGCGGCUGUAAAUGAGAUGAUUUAGAUAUGGAGUUCCCAAUCCAGCUCCUGUCAUAACAAAAAGUUAAUUAAGAAAAUAACUCUAUUCACCACACUCAUUUAACUCUCUCCCACAUUCCCCAAAGACAAGCAAAAAAAAUAAAAAAUCAACUGUGUUUUCUUACAAAUGAGAAUGCUGCAUUACCCAUUCAGUAUGGAGUGAUUUUGAUGUUGGUUAUUCAAAUCAGGGUUGCCUGUGGAAAAACCUAACUCCGUUACUUUAGGGAGCCCCAAUCAUCUAUGCAAAUAUGUGGAUGUAUGUAUAGUGUUUACCUACAGUGUCAGCCUACAGUUUCCAUGGACAUUUUCAUUGACUAAUAUGCCUAUUAAAGGGUUCCUUAAAAUUCACAUUUACCUGUGAACAUUUAUGCCCAGGGCUGUUUAUUUUUCCUUUAUUUUAUAUCCCUCUGGAAUACUUAUUCUGAUUGUUCAGUUACAACACUCAGCGCUCUGAUAUAAUGUUAUGAUAAAACUGUAUAUCAGCCUGCCCAUCCAAGGAACUGAAAACGUCAC